rfam:Canis lupus familiaris chromosome 4, whole genome shotgun sequence.
GCCUGGAUGGCUCAGCGGUUGAGCAUCUGCCUUUAACUCAGGGCAUGAUCCUGGAGUCCUGGGAUCGAAUCCCACGUCAGGGUC